UACGUAGGGGGCAAGCGUUGUCCGGAUUUAUUGGGCGUAAAGAGCGUGUAGGCGGCCAGGUAGGUCCGUUGUGAAAACUGGAGGCUUAACCUCCAGCUGUCGAUGGAAACCAUCUGGCUAGAGUCCGGAAGAGGAGAGUGGAAUUCCUGGUGUAGCGGUGAAAUGCGCAGAUAUCAGGAGGAAUACCCGUGGCGAAGGCGGUCCACUGGGCAUCAACUGACGCUGAGGCGCGAAAGCGUGGGUAGCAAACAGG
rnacentral:rRNA from 1 species